rnacentral:tRNA from 1 species
GUUGAUGUAGCUUAAUAACCAAAGCAAAGCACUGAAAAUGCU